GUUAAUCAUCGAAUUUUUGAACGCAAAUUGCACUCUCUGGUAUUCCGGAGAGGAUGCCUGUUUGAGUAUCAGUGUAAAUAUAAAUCGGUUUGUUUGUUGCCUUUCGUGGUGACGCACCGAAUUAGGUUCGUCUUGGCUUCGAUUAAGUGACCUAAAAUAUUGCAAGAUUUUUUUUGAACGUAUUUAAAUGAUUUUACGUACGUUUGCGAUAUGAAAUACUAGGGGUGGUCAUCCUCAUGAUUGUCGCCUAUAAUUUUUCAUCAAAAUUACAUAAAACUA
rnacentral:misc_RNA from 1 species